AUUGAACGCUGGCGGCAGGCCUAACACAUGCAAGUCGAGCGGAUGAAGGGAGCUUGCUCCUGGAUUCAGCGGCGGACGGGUGAGUAAUGCCUAGGAAUCUGCCUGGUAGUGGGGGUUACGGUCGGGAAAGGGGGGCAAUUACGGAAUACGUCCUGAGGGAGAAGGUGGGGGUUUUUCGGACCCAACGCUACCAGUUAAGCCUAGGUCGGAUUAGCUAGUUGGUGGGGUAAAGGCCUACCAAGGCGACGAUCCGUAACUGGUCUGAGAGGAUGAUCAGUCACACUGGAACUGAGACACGGUCCAGACUCCUACGGGAGGCAGCAGUGGGGAAUAUUGGACAAUGGGCGAAAGCCUGAUCCAGCCAUGCCGCGUGUGUGAAGAAGGUCUUCGGAUUGUAAAGCACUUUAAGUUGGGAGGAAGGGCAGUAAGUUAAUACCUUGCUGUUUUGACGUUACCAACAGAAUAAGCACCGGCUAACUUCGUG
rnacentral:rRNA from 1 species